rnacentral:rRNA from 1 species
AGAACGAACGCUGGCGGCAGGCUUAACACAUGCAAGUCGAACGCCCCGCAAGGGGAGUGGCAGACGGGUGAGUAACGCGUGGGAACGUGCCUCAAGGUACGGAACAACUCCGGGAAACUGGAGCUAAUACCGUAUGUGCCCGAAAGGGGAAAGAUUUAUCGCCUUGGGAUCGGCCCGCGUCUGAUUAGCUAGUUGGUAGGGUAAUGGCCUACCAAGGCUACGAUCAGUAGCUGGU